UGCUGUAUGCGCAACAGUGUGUGCAGAGAAUUGUGUAUGUGGGACGCCCGUGUGUGACCUCGUCCAGAAUGUAUUGGGCAGCGUGGGACGCUAGUGUGGAUGAUGUGCAGAAUGUUAGACGCUACUGACCACUUUUCAUCCUUUUGGCAAAUAUUUUCCCUCUCAUUUCCCAUUAGUAAUUUUUCCUUUAGUAAAGAGGAUGUAGUAGGUGAGUUGAUAAUGAGGAAAAUGGAGAAAAGUAGAGGAAGAAGAAGAAGAAGAA
rnacentral:misc_RNA from 1 species